GCCUCGGUAGUGUAGUGGAUCAGCACGGCAGACCGGAUAUUUGUAAGUGCGGGCUCGAGUCCCGCCUGAGGUU
rnacentral:tRNA from 1 species